AUNCUUCCGUAGGUGAACCUGCGGAAGGAUCAUUA
rnacentral:rRNA from 1 species